GCACUGCUGAGGAGUCCCAUAAUAUGACGAAACGGCUGUCCAGUGC
rfam:Schistosoma rodhaini strain Burundi genome assembly, scaffold: SROB_scaffold0003569